rnacentral:tRNA from 1 species
AAUAAAAUAGUUUAUAAAAAAUUUUAGUUUGUCAAACUAAAGAUAGAAAAAUACCUCAAUUAAUA